GCCAGAUGAACGCUGGCGGCGUGCCUAAUACAUGCAAGUCGAACGAGUUCUCGUUGAUGAUCGGUGCUUGCACCGAGAUUCAACAUGGAACGAGUGGCGGACGGGUGAGUAACACGUGGGUAACCUGCCCUUAAGUGGGGGAUAACAUUUGGAAACAGAUGCUAAUACCGCAUAGAUCCAAGAACCGCAUGGUUCUUGGCUGAAAGAUGGCGUAAGCUAUCGCUUUUGGAUGGACCCGCGGCGUAUUAGCUAGUUGGUGAGGUAAUGGCUCACCAAGGCGAUGAUACGUAGCCGAACUGAGAGGUUGAUCGGCCACAUUGGGACUGAGACACGGCCCAAACUCCUACGGGAGGCAGCAGUAGGGAAUCUUCCACAAUGGACGCAAGUCUGAUGGAGCAACGCCGCGUGAGUGAAGAAGGCUUUCGGGUCGUAAAACUCUGUUGUUGGAGAAGAAUGGUCGGCAGAGUAACUGUUGUCGGCGUGACGGUAUCCAACCAGAAAGCCACGGCUAACUACGUGCCAGCAGCCGCGGUAAUACGUAGGUGGCAAGCGUUAUCCGGAUUUAUUGGGCGUAAAGCGAGCGCAGGCGGUUUUUUAAGUCUGAUGUGAAAGCCCUCGGCUUAACCGAGGAAGCGCAUCGGAAACUGGGAAACUUGAGUGCAGAAGAGGACAGUGGAACUCCAUGUGUAGCGGUGAAAUGCGUAGAUAUAUGGAAGAACACCAGUGGCGAAGGCGGCUGUCUGGUCUGUAACUGACGCUGAGGCUCGAAAGCAUGGGUAGCGAACAGGAUUAGAUACCCUGGUAGUCCAUGCCGUAAACGAUGAAUGCUAGGUGUUGGAGGGUUUCCGCCCUUCAGUGCCGCAGCUAACGCAUUAAGCAUCCGUCC
rnacentral:rRNA from 1 species